rnacentral:lncRNA from 12 species
AAUAUAUAGAAUAUACAAAUAUACAUUUAAGGUAUAUACAUAAAUAAUUAUCUAAACAUAAUUGUAUAAUAUGUAUAGUUUUCUUGAGCUUUAACAUUUUACAUUUGUGUAGUAUUUUACACUUUGUGGGGACUUAAUCUCACAGACUCUAUUAGUUAUCUGUGGCCACAAUGAUGCCAUGUGACAAAGAACCAUGCAAUCUCAGUGCCACACAACAAUGAGUGUUUAUUGCUCAUGUGUAUGGAGGUUUGCUCGGUGGCUCUGUGGGCCUUCUAGGCUUGCUCAUAUAGCUGGACAUCUGCUGGCUGUCAGUUGAUCUAGGAUGGCCUCGAGCUGAGGUGACUUGGGUGACUCAGCCUUGAUCCAUGUCUCCUAUCUUUGAACAAACUAACCCAGACAUGUCCUCAGGUGGCAGAAGAGGUGAUAGAAGAGGCACAAGAGAGCAAGCAGAAACAUGCAAGUCCUUGUAUACUCAUAGACCAGCUGGAGGAAGUCACAGGGAUGAGCUCAGGGUCAAGGUAUGGGGAAAUGUGCCCCUUCCUUUUGGUUCGAGCAGUUGCAAUGUCACCUGGUAAAGGCUGUAGAUAUCGGUGAAAUUAUAGCAACCUACCACAGAGAUAUUGCCUCACUUAAUCCUUACAAUGUAAUCCUUUACCCUUGAAGACUGGUAUUAUUUCUGCUCUUACAGCUUAAGACAUGGGCACCAAAGAGUUCAACAUGGACCAGAGGAACUGGAAUAUUGGUUCUCCUGUUAUAAAAUCAAGGCACUUUUUAUUGUUCCACACUACGCUUAAUGAAGAACAUGAAUUCCAGGAGUUUUGUCAGAGACUUCCUAGAGAGCUGAAUUGCCUAGAGUUGAAUGAGUGUCAGAUUUGCAUCCACAUCUCCCCUCAGCUCAGCUCUUCACUUCCAGAUUUUUAUCCCCAGGGUGGAUUAAAAACAGAGCUCCUUCGCGGGAAGGCGAUGGUUUCCAUCCGGAACCCUGUCCUGGCUUGCCUUGUCUUUUCUCUGUCAUCCUGA